rnacentral:misc_RNA from 1 species
UUUCCGUAGGUGAACCUGCGGAAGGAUCAUUACCAAAAGAUAAUCUUUCAAAUCGAAAGAUCUUUUCCUUUGUGCUGGCUUUGACCGUAUGUAAUUUUGGGACUUAAACAUGGUAGCUUUUUUGUUACCGGUCCCAAAAACAAUUAUAUCAUCCUUAUGAAAAACUUACUGAAAACUAAACAAUGAUUUUAAUAAUCUGUUUAAAACAACUUUCAACAACGGAUCUCUUGGUUCUG